ensembl:snRNA U6 U6 spliceosomal RNA
GGCAGGUGCUUAUGCCGCUGAGCUAAAUUGGAACGAUACAGAGAAGAUUAGCAUGGCCCCUGCGCAAGUAUCAUUUUGAAGCACCCAAAAGGUUUCCAGAGGUCU